UACAGGGGGUGCAAACGUUGCUCGGAAUCAUUGGGCGUAAAGCGCACGUAGGCGGUCUGUUAUGUCGGAUGUGAAAGCCCUCGGCUUAACUGAGGAAGUGCACCUGAAACUGGCAGGCUUGAGUACGAAAGAGGGUCGCGGAAUUCCCAGUGUAGCGGUGAAAUGCGUAGAUAUUGGGAGGAACACCAGUGGCGAAGGCGGCUCACUGGACCGGUACUGACGCUGAGGCGCGAAAGCGUGGGGAGCAAACGGG
rnacentral:rRNA from 1 species